UACGUAGGGCGCAAGCGUUGUCCGGAAUUAUUGGGCGUAAAGAGCUCGUAGGCGGUUUGUCGCGUCUGCUGUGAAAACCCGAGGCUCAACCUCGGGCCUGCAGUGGGUACGGGCAGACUAGAGUGCGGUAGGGGAGAUUGGAAUUCCGUGGUGUAGCGGUGGAAUGCGCAGAUAAUCAGGAGGAACACCGAUGGCGAAGGCAGAUCUCUGGGCCGUAACUCGACGCUGAGGAGCGAAAGCGUGGGGAGCGAACAGG
rnacentral:rRNA from 1 species